AUGUUUUUAUGCAACAUCAGCUCCAUAAAGGACUGGAGCUAUUUUCUGUCUCAGAUUUUACCUUUGAUGAAUAAAACUGCAGGGUUGGUGAACAUCGACAAAGCCGAGGCUGUGACGACCACCACGGUGACAGCGUUGCAGCCGGACCGCGCCAUGAGCGCGAGCCACCCUCCUCUGAACUCCAACCACACGUCGGGCAUGGAGCACGUCUUCCAGUACUCCUACUCGGAGGGCGACCUGCUGUACACGGACCACCGGACCCCCGCCCGGGACCCCAUCCCGCUGCCCAAGGCGGUGCUGUACCUGGUCAUGGCGGCGCUGGUGGUGGUGGCGGUGGCGUAUGCGAUAGUCGGACACCUGGUCAAGGAUGUGGUCAAUGACUUUGUGGGCGGAGGCAGGUCUAUGGCCGCUGAAGGUGACGGCGGUGAAGCCAACCAACCAGACUGGGUGUUUGGCUCUCGUCGCUCCAGCGACCGCAACAAGAGCGAGAUCAACUGCAUCAGCAGAAAUGUGAGCGAGAUGAGCGAGAGGCCGCGGCUGGUGGAGAUGAGCUCCGUCUCCCUGAACCACAGUAAAUGUGUGAGCGGCAGCAGAGCGGAGGCGACGGUGGUCACCGUGGACGAGACCCUGCAGCAGCAGCGCCCUCCAGACCCUCAGUCUGGGACCUAACGGGCCAAGCGGCGCCAAAGCUUUGGGUCCGCGUUGGAGUGGAUUUACAGGAAGCGAAGCUCCUUCCGCUGUUUCGUCGCACGCAGGGACGCUGCACCUGUGGAGUUGGUGUCGGAGGGAUUUUGAGCUGUGAACCUGUGCGGGAACGUCAUCGGCAUCAGACGCUGAUGCUUGUGUCUGAUUGGACUCUUCACUGUGGAGACGGAGAAACAGGGACGGACAUGUGCAGCUUUUACGUGGACUGUUUCUUCUAUUUCUUCCUCCUAAUUUAUGAGCCACGCGUUUAAGUGCUUUAAUGUGACGUCAUGACAAACAGGAUGUGGUCAGUCCAUUUAUGCCAUGACUGUUGCUCACUGAUUGUUGUGCUGUUGCAGCUACAGUCUAACACACUUCACCUUCAUUAGAUGAACACGUGAACAGUGGUUUUAUUUUCCGUGACGCUGUGAGACACCAGGUUUUUAUAACCUCAUCACAUUUCUAUGAACUAACACAGGUCAGCUGUAAAUGUCAACCUGCUCCUUUUUGUGCAACGAUGCUGUAAUUACUGGAAGCAAAAAACUCAAAAGUAAAACAGUUUUUGUAGUUCUGUGUUAAUAGCUUUAUGUAAACAAGUGCUACCCGAACAGCCCUGGUUACACCUUAAACACAAAAAUUGUCAAAGCCAUCGAUCCUAUGAGGCAAAAACAGUCAACUGUGUCACUUUCACUUUUUUAAGUUUUGCAAUAAUCGUUGUGGUAAAAGUGUUGUAACAUCACAUUUGUGGCCGAAGCUGUGACUGCUUGUCCAUCUGUGUAGUGUCUGAUUGCUUUGGACCUUUAUUACCUCACUGUUAAGGGCUACGUGCUGCUGCUGAUGAGUCUGUGACACUACACAGAAUCCUGCUGGCUCCUAAAUGCUCUGUGCAUGCUGUGGUUAGUACAACUCUCCCAAAGAAGUAAAAUCCCAAGUAGCCGAUAUUGUUCACGCCUGGACCUCAACAACUUCACAGGUUGUUCUUGUUCUGGAUUAAAACCAGGUUCACUUUACUGCUACAGCAGCAAUUUGUUCCAAAGUUCAGAAUCUAAAACUGCAAAAAAGAUCAUUUUUUUACCACCUUGUCGCUGUCGAUCACUGUUUUCCCUUCAACUCUUCUAAUAAAUAUUUAUGGUUAUUGUAACUGUCA
rnacentral:lncRNA from 1 species